rnacentral:rRNA from 1 species
UUCCGUAGGUGAACCAGCGGAGGGAUCAUUACCGAGUUUACAACUCCCAAACCCAAUGUGAACCAUACCAAACUGUUGCCUCGGCGGGGUCACGCCCCGGGUGCGUCGCAGCCCCGGAACCAGGCGCCCGCCGGAGGGACCAACCAAACUCUUUUCUGUAGUCCCCUCGCGGACGUUAUUUCUUACAGCUCUGAGCAAAAAUUCAAAAUGAAUCAAAACUUUCAACAACGGAUCUCUUGGUUCUGGCAUCGAUGAAGAACGCAGCGAAAUGCGAUAAGUAAUGUGAAUUGCAGAAUUCAGUGAAUCAUCGAAUCUUUGAACGCACAUUGCGCCCGCCAGUAUUCUGGCGGGCAUGCCUGUCCGAGCGUCAUUUCAACCCUCGAACCCCUCCGGGGGGUCGGCGUUGGGGACCUCGGGAGCCCCUAAGACGGGAUCCCGGCCCCGAAAUACAGUGGCGGUCUCGCCGCAGCCUCUCCUGCGCAGUAGUUUGCACAACUCGCACCGGGAGCGCGGCGCGUCCACGUCCGUAAAACACCCAACUUUCUGAAAUGUUGACCUCGGAUCAGGUAGGAAUACCCGCUGAACUUAAGCAUAUCAAUAAGCGGAGGAAAAGAAACCAACAGGG